UGCUCCCUAGCGAGGCCGAUGGAGAGUGGGCUGGUUUAUCAAGCCCUACUGUGUGCAGAGGUUUCGGGUGCCAUGUGUUCAUCAGCUGUGUGCCAGCUCUGUGCUGUGCGCCCAAAGAGGAGAAACGUCGAGCCUGCCCCGCAUCCUCCCCAGCUCAUGUUCUCCCGGUGGCGAGGACAGUAAACUAAUGAAAAUGACAACUAGGGUCACUAUGAGAUUUGCUGAGCGCUUAAUAUCUGUCAGGUGCUGGACCAAGAGCUAGACGAGCAACAUUUAUUUGACUCUUAAACACCAAUGGUAUUGCCUCCUCAGAGAGCCCCACCACCACCACCCUGCUCAAAGGUGCCCCCUCCUCCAGUCACUGUGACAUCACCCUGUUUUGUCUUCACAGCGCUUCUGGUGGGGAUUGAGCUUGCAGUCCCUGUCUCUCCUAUCAGAGAGCAAGCUCCUGAGGGCAGAGAACAGCUUUGUUUACAGCAGGGCCCCCGUGCCAGGAUCGGGGCUGGAACAUGGUAGAAGCUCAAUAAAUGCUUGAUGAAUGAAUUAAGGCUCAGCCAGAUGCGUCUAAUACUUCGGCAGAUAAAUGACAGCAGCAGGGAUUUACCCCAGGUCUAACCGACAACAAAGUAUGCAAUAAUUUCUCAUAGAAAUUCCAUACAGG
rnacentral:lncRNA from 1 species